GUCUUUCUGGUACUGAUUUUUUGAGACCAAGGAUAAAAGGAUCGUUUUGUAAGACACGCCAUAGCAAUGGCUGGUUGGGGGACAGUUUCUGCCCAAGCUUGGCCUAUUUUAUUUUUCCUUAUACCUACUUUCAAAGUCAUUUAGGUAUUUGAAGCCUUAUUUCCCACGUAGUAACACUUUCUGGCUUUUGCAGUUUCUUUUUUUGUUUGGUUUUGUUUUUUGCAUGGACUGGGAAUCAAACAACCCGAAGAAGAACACAUUUUGAUCAAGCAAAAUAUUUGCUUCAAACAUCAGAAGUUUAUUUUACAGAAAUUAAAUUAAGUAGUUUGACAUCCUUUUCUCUGUUUCACACAUAUAUUAGGUUGGUGCAUAAGUAAUUGUGGUUUUUGCCAUGACUUUUAUGGCAAAACCUGCAAUUACUUUUGCACCAACCUAAUACAUCUAUAUACAUAUAUAUAUGCGUACACACUUGUUCAGAAGUUAUGUUGUGGCCUUGGAUUUGUUUUUCCGUUUGGAAAUGGUUCUUAACUCUGGGAUUUUAGAAGGUUAGAAUAUUUUUUCAAGAGAACGGUGGUACUCAAAAGAAUGAAAGGUGGUCCCUACAUUUUCUGUAUUCAUCACUUAAAAUUUUUAAUUUUUCUGAGAACUACAAGUAACAUUUGAACCAUGCUGCUGUUGUACCUUAAACAAAAACUCAGUGAUAACCAGUAUUUAGUCUAUUAAAAAUGCUCUUUUUGAAGAAAAAAGUUUGGAAGUCUCUGAUUAGCCAGAGUAUAGUAUGAGUCUUCACUGAGAAAUAUGGUGACCCAUUUUCUUUGUGAAAACCUGGGAAAAUGCAAGUGUGGGUAUGAAGUGUGUGUUCUGUUUGCAUUGAAACAAUGUAAUUUUGUGUCUUCUUUUUGCUUUAACUGACUUAUUUCAGAAAUUGUACAGUGUUGAGGGGGAAAGUCUUUUCUGUUAAUAUAUUUGCAAUUCAUUAAAGGAUAUGGAAAAUCCAAAUAAGUUACUUUUGAAAACAGUUUAUAAUCAAGUUGUUAAAGCUAUAUGAAAGCUGUGCCAUCUGUAUUUUAAUAAGAAGGCACAGAAAAACAGAGAUACAGUUUUAUGUUUCACAAAAAACUAGAGCAAUGUUUAUCUAAUUUUUUAAAACUUACACUCUCUUUUAAUAUAUUUAUAUUUUUAAACGGUCAUACUCUUUUUUAGUAUUAUUUGGAAUAUCAAAAUAAAUACUAUGACAAAAAC
rnacentral:lncRNA from 1 species